CAGAGAGUAGUUAAAACAGAAUACUAGCUUUGGGAGCCAGCGGUGGGAGUUCGAAUCUCUCCUUUCUGA
rnacentral:tRNA from 1 species